rnacentral:rRNA from 1 species
AUUGAACGCUGGCGGCAGGCCUAACACAUGCAAGUCGAGCGAGCGGCGGACGGGUGAGUAAUGUCUGGGAAACUGCCUGAUGGAGGGGGAUAACUACUGGAAACGGUAGCUAAUACCGCAUACCAUCAGAUGUGCCCAGAUGGGAUUAGCUAGUAGGUGGGGUAACGGCUCACCUAGGCUACGAUCCCUAGCUGGUCUGAGAGGAUGACCAGCCACGCUGGAAUUGGGACACGGUCCAGACUCCUAAGGGAUGCAGCAGUGGGGAAUGUUGCACAAUGGGCGCAAGCCUGAUGCAGCCAUGCCGGGUGUGUGAAGAAGGCCAUCGGGUUGUAAAGCACUGUCAGAGGGGAGGCGUUACCCGCAGAAGAAGCACCGGCUAACUCCGUGACAGCAGCCGCGGUAAUAC